GAAAUUCCUCUCCGGAUUUAGUUUCCUUCACAUUCAACCUCUCUCUCUAGAUUUAUGCAUUUCCAGAAUCCCCUGCCUACAUUUUAGCUUAAUUUUCUCUGCCACUAUAUAAUUCUUGAAUUGCAAAGUAUAUCCUAUUUCUCGAGAAUCUAGAUCUAUUCCGUAAAGGUUGAUUAUUUGCUGAUACAGGCGAAUUUAGUAAGGAUUCUGGGUUUUUCGCAAUUCUAGUCAUUUGACAACAAGUUUUGAGUUUCCGAGCCGAAAAUAUCAAGCUUUUAGUCUAGAAAGUUGCGCGCUUUGUGUGCUUGAUUCUGGAUAGUCUGAGCUGAAUUGAACUGAAAAAAAAGGAAAGACAACCGGUGGAAGAAGACUCACACAUGUCACAGGUUUCUAUAGAUACAGAGAUAGUUGAAACGGUAGUCGUGUUCUGGAGGUUCGCACCUCUUUUAGAAAUCUGAGAGGCGUAAGGUGGCGUAUAGAUUUGGGGAUUUUACCAUCUUAUCCUUUUGGCCUCCGUCGACGAUCUCCGCCGGGUUACCGCCGAUUCUCGGAGAAGGUAAACACAUAGCUCUUCAUCUUGUAAGAAUUAAUUGUUAUGCGUAGUUUAGUUUUGGGACCAAUGAUUGAAGAGAUCGUGUCGCGUGUUACCCUUUUUGGUUGGUCGUCCUAAAUUGUCGGUCAUUUUUUUAAACUUUCGGGGUUGUAUUUAUUAUCUCCAAUUUAAUGCUUCAGUAUUUCAGUUUUGAUCGGUUUCAGCAAGUAUUGGGUUCUAAAAGGAUUAAAUCAACCCAUCAUCAUUUCUAUGUAGUUUUUGGUACUUAUUUUAGUCGGCUAUUUGAUUUAAAUCUGAAAGUAUAUAAAGUUGGGUGGAAUCAUCUCCUCAUAAGUUUCCGGAUGAAAACUGGAAGCGAGCCAGCAACAUCUCUGGAAUGAUGUUGGGGGGCCUCUUCUGGCCGCCUCUGUUUUGAUUUAAUCUUGAAUUGUAUUGAUGAUGAUGAUGAUGUAGGUAUGCUGCGUUAAGGAGGCAACUUCUAGUUGAUCCACAUGUGCCGAGAGAUGGAGGCAGCAGCUCUCCUGAUCGCGUCAUGGACAAUCCACUAUCCCAAAACCCAGGUGGGAUUUUCAUAAUAAUCUUCGUUAUUUCUACUUUCCNUCAUUCCCUUCUUUUUUAUUUGCCUCUAAAUUUUGACGGAGCCGUGAUCUACUUGAUUUCGGAUUUCUUGCUCUAUUUUUCCAUCAAAAUUUCAAGAUUUUUACUGUUUCUUCCCACGCCACAUGCUAUGUUUCUUCUUCAUUUACCAAAAAUUGAAUUAAUCAUUUAUACAAAUAAUUCAUGAAUGUGGUAGAACAAACUUCAGACAAAUAAAAUAAUAAUAACCUCCAUCUCAAUUAUUAAUUCCUCAGCACCCAUAGACUUAAGACAAAAAUAACCUUAAUUAAAAUAACCCUUUAACCAAAUCCUAAACAUAACCACAUCAACCACUUUCAAAAUGUUCAAAACAAUUUAAUGUUCAAAGAUAUACAGUUGGGAUUUUUUUAGAAGUAUAAAAUAAAAUAAACCCUAAUAUAGUAAUAUAAAAUUUACAUUGAGCAAUUGGGAUGUGGGUUUGAUAUUGUGGAAAUAUUUUAGAUAGACGCACUCAGAAAAUAUUAAAGCAAGAUCUAACUACUUCUACAAGUCACGAAAGCAUAUAGCGUCUGAGCAAACACAACCUUCUCAAAUGUAUAAUAUUGCAUAGAGGCAACAAUAUUGAUUAAUACGAAAUAAAUAAUCAUUUUAUGAGCUCGGUAGAUGAGAUUACAUAAUUGUUGGUCUUGUUCAAAGUUUCAAACUUCUAAUAAUUUGAUUUAGGUGGGAAUUUAGGGGUGGAGCAAAAUACUGAAAAAUCGGUAUACCGCACUUAUCGUACCGAAAAAAUACCGAAAAUACCGAAAUUUCGGUAUACCGAAAAUUUCGGUACGGUAUUGUACCGUACCGAAGAUUUUCGGUACGGCAACGGUAUCAUUUUCCUCAUACCGCGGUAUACCGAUAUAUACCGAUACCGCGGUAUAUGCCGAAAAAUCGGUAUAUACCACCGGUAUAUACCGAUAGUAUAUACCGAAAAAAUUCGUAUGCCGUCGGAAUCAAUUAUAUAUAUAUAUAUAUAUAUAUAUAUAUUAGUGGUAAAUUAUUUUUUUGCUUUGUUGAAAAUGUGGAGUUUAAUUGUUAGAAAGUUAUUUGUAUUUGUUUAAUGAAAUUUCAAUAUGUACAAAUAUACGGUAUAUCUUAAUGAUUUGGCAAUUUAGGCAUGAAACGAUAUAACAAUAAUUUCGGUAAUACAGUAAGGUAUGGUAUACCGACUUUCGGUAUGGUAUACCGCACUAUCGGUAUACCAUACUAUCGGUACGACAACGGUAUGAAAAUUCUCAUACCAAAAUUUUCGGUAUGCCGAUUUUCGGUAUACCGAAAAGUACGGUACGGCAACGGUAUGAAAAUUCUCAUACCGCAAUUUACGGUAUGGUAUACGGUAUGACGAAAAAUUUUCGGUAUACCGUACCGAUCCACCCCUAGGUGGGAUAACUUAAAAUACGAAACAAUAGCACGGUACGUAUUAUAAUAUAAAAAAUAAUUGAUUAAAUAUUUUUUACUUAUAUUAUUCGUAUCAUCAAUUCAUCAAAUGUCGAUACGAUAAUAAUUUUUUUUAUAUCUUAUUUUGUAAUAUCGAUUUUAUUAAUAUAUAACAUCGUUCAAUGUUAUUUUCUUUAUAUAAAUUUGAUUAAUAACAAUGUUAUUUUUGAUUUUAUCAUGUGUUGCGUCGACAUGGAAUACGACACAAUAAUACUCCCUCCGUCCGCCAAAAUUAUGUAAAAUUGCUUGGGCACGGGAUUUAAUAAAAUUAGUGAUGAUUUUGAUGUAGUGGAGAAAGGGUCCCACCACUUUAUGAGAUGUGUGGUUGAGAUUGAGUUUUGAGUGAGUUUUUUGUAAAUAAAGAGUGUUAGUAAGGAUAAAAUAUUAAAGAAGAUGGUGGGACCAUUGCCAUAAAAGGAAAGUGACAUAAUCUUGGCGGACGCCAAAUAUAGUAAUUUUUACAUAAUUUUGGCGGACGGAGGGAGAACAAAUUAUCACCCAUAAAAUGAUUGAGCAUUUUCCACCCAGUCUUUAAUGUAAUUUUUCUCAAUAAUACAGUUUACAGACAAUUAUUUAAAGGUAAAUAUAUUUGUAUACAUUUUCAAAGAAAUAGUUGUUUCUUGACGCAACUCAAGUACCACGCUAAAUAUUAAACUUUCAACGAAGGAGAUUAGACCAGCAACCGCAGAAAAAACCAUAAAGUUAGAUGCAAAUUCUUGGAAACUCAAGUUGAAACUCAGAGUUUUAAUUUGACAUAAGUCAACUAUAAAAAUAGUCUUAAUUAUCUUGGAUAAGUAGAAAAUGCUUUGUCUAAUCUAAUUCAUGAAUUUUCUUAGCUCUGCUGACUAUUUGAAUAUGGAUUAAUUGUAUAAGUAAAUAAGUAAUCAAUUAAUUUUUUAAUAGAGGUGAAUGAUUGCUCCAUUUUCGAUUGUGCACAAAAAGAAAAAGUUAGUGCAACAUGCGAUGGGUGUUGGUGACCUGCAACAUGCACAUAAAACAAGCCAACCUCCAUUAGCUUUUUUCUUUACACAUGAAAAACAAAUUUAUUAUUUUACUCUCUCUGUAUAUUAUGAUAAACAAUAAAGACUCACUGGAUUUUGUGAUUAGCUUCUAUUAUUUUUUUAAUAAGCGAGGAUGUACAUAUCAAAAUUAUAACAUCAUCUUUUUUGUUACAGCUAAGAGUAAACGGCACACAAGAAUAUUUGAAUAUAAUAUCAUUUACUCACACAAAAUAAAAUACUAUUACUCAUUUCAAGAUUAAGGGAUAUGUUAAGGGAAAAAAAUAGUUAAAUAAUCAUUUAACAAAUAAACGGGACUAUAGUUUUGAGACGAAUAAGAAAAAGAAACAAAAAAUUGAGGACGAAUGGAAAACAAAUACUACUACUACUAUUAAAUGAAGCGGAAAAGGGAAUUAUAUUUAUAUUUAUAUGAAAAGAAAAGCAGAAAACAUUCUUAAUCAAAAAAAAAAAACAGAAAUCAUUCAUUGGUUGGAAAUUGGAAUAUUAAAUUUAGUUGAAAAGGGCAUUUUCACCUAAUUAUUUUUUCCAUCCGAAAUUCCUCUCCGGAUUUAGUUUCCUUCACAUUCAACCUCUCUCUCUAGAUUUAUGCAUUUCCAGAAUCCCCUGCCUACAUUUUAGCUUAAUUUUCUCUGCCACUAUAUAAUUCUUGAAUUGCAAAGUAUAUCCUAUUUCUCGAGAAUCUAGAUCUAUUCCGUAAAGGUUGAUUAUUUGCUGAUACAGGCGAAUUUAGUAAGGAUUCUGGGUUUUUCGCAAUUCUAGUCAUUUGACAACAAGUUUUGAGUUUCCGAGCCGAAAAUAUCAAGCUUUUAGUCUAGAAAGUUGCGCGCUUUGUGUGCUUGAUUCUGGAUAGUCUGAGCUGAAUUGACUGAAAAAAAGAGAAAGACAACCGGUGGAAGAAGACUCACACAUGUCACAGGUUUCUAUAGAUACAGAGAUAGUUGAAACGGAGU
rnacentral:lncRNA from 1 species